GUUGUGAGCCAAACCCAUUACAAAUCUAGCGGUCGCCGCCGCCACCGCCACCGCCGCGGACUGCUAACCCUCACCCCACAAACUCGGUGGAAGGAUUUGGCAGCUCCGGGCGCCAGUGGCAUGGAGGAUUCAGGGCUCGAGUUCUGUAUAUGAGGAGAUGUAUUACGUUCCGUAUAUGAGCUCGACGAUGCCGCCGCCUGACCAUGGCUGGCCGUGUCUUGCAGGUUUCCACUGCGGGGAGAGUUCGCCGGCAGCUUGGAACAUCCAGAUCCGGUUCCCCUCACUGUUCAUCCACGGAUUGAUGACAGGAGCACUGAGCAGGCUGAUUCGAAUGCCGGCUCGGGUUGUGGCCAACUUGUUGGCGGCGCUGGCGACGACAGGACGCAAGUCGACGGGAGAUGGCGGAAGGGAGGUUCACCGACAAGGUCCGUGCAGUAAACGCAUACUGUGAAUCCAGAGGAUGGACAAAAAGGUUACAUCUCGGGAGUGCGCCGCCCGGACAGAACGCCAUCUCCAUCAAGGAUUAGUGCUCUUGAGCAGUCAAUUCGCCAGUAUGCAGAGGAACUGACGAAAAGUGUAGUUCAUCCUGAACUAGGACUUUGUUUCGACUCACGUGGAGAGGCGUACGACUUCUAGAAUUUGUAUUUGUUGGAGAUGGGUUCGGGGUAUGCUACGGCAAAAGCAGACUUAAUGCUGAGAGGACAAAGUCAAUCCAAGAGAUGGUUUGCGGCUGCUCGGGUAAGCCAGAUGCGGAGAAUAACAGACACUGUAGAUGCCCUGUGUUGAUACGGCUACUGCGGGCGGCUGACAAUAGUUGGCACAUAACAGAGCAUCGUGAGAACCAGAACCAUUCCAUGUCCCUUACCAUGGGGGAGAAGGUGCAUUGGCCAUCAUACAAGCACCUAGAUGUUUACACGAAAGAUCUGAUAAAACAGUCGAGGGAGGAUAAUGUAAACCUGGGAAAGGUCUACAACAUUAUUUGGAGCUUCUUAGGCUCAGUACAGAAGGUGCCGUUCAUGAAGAGGACCCUAAGGAACAUAUGUGGUAAGAUAAGCCGUGAGCAAGCUGAUAAUGAUGUGAGGAAGUAUUUGCUGACAUUGUUGCCAGGGACCCAGAAUUUAGGCACCGAGUUCUUGCUGAUAGCAAUAGCAGUGUUAAGAAUUUGAUGUGGACAAAUGGAAGCAGUCGCAUGCAGUACCGGUUUUUCAGUCACGUGGUUACAUUUCACAAGACAUACAAGACUAAUUUGUAUGAUAUGCCUUUUGGGCUGUUUGUGGGAGUUAAUAACCACUUCCAAAGUAUCAUUUUGGCUGGUGUGCUAAUGUGUGAUGAGCAAGCGGAGAGGUUCGAAUGGGUGUCCCGUGAGUUGAUCUGUAUGAUGGGAGGGCAUGCACCAAAGACGAUACUCACAGAGCAAUGGAGUUAGCAAUUGGUAAAUUUUGUCCAAAUAGCUUCCACCGUUUGUGCAAAUGGCAUGUGCUGAAGAAAGCAAAAGAGAGCCUUCAACCAUUGUACACGAAGAAGUGCGAGUUGCAGGCUGAGCUCUACAAAGUAGUAAACCACAGGUUGAUUGAAGAUGAGUUCGAGACAACAUGCGGUAUGCAGCAAGGGAGAUUUGAAAAUCAAAUAGAGUGGGCGGAGCCAGGAUGGCGGCCUCCACAUCCGAAACAACGGCAAGCAGGACGACGGGGAGGUCUGCCACCGGCGACGAUGGAGCAUAUAAGGAAGACCAGUGGGCUGAGGCGCUGGCUGUGGUGGCGUCCAUGGCGUGGAGCAGUACUACCUCCGUCCGGGUUUAAAAGUCCCUUAACCCAAAUCAUCAAGACCAAGACGACGCUCUGCUCAAGCUUCCUCAAAAGUUGUUGCUGGUCUAACCAAUCAUAGGGCUUUGUUUCCUAUUUAUACUCUGACUGCUAACCUCCCAAACAUAAUUACAGGGCAUGCCCCACAGCUGCCUUAGAAAGAGGAGUGCAUGCAUUGGUUGCGUUGUUUACUGUAGCUGCAUGCAAGAGCUUGAAAGCUGGAACGGCCGCUGCAUGCUUGGCUUGCAUUCACUACGAAAGGCACAGACCUAUAGAAAGGAGCAGAGCUCCUGCAGGCGGCCUAGUAAUUUCGUACGAGGCUUGGUGGCUCCGGGAACUUCUAAUCCCGGACGGAGGUAGUACUUAACAGCCGGAUGAGGCGGUGAGGGUGAAGUUGUCCAGAUGGACCACUACGGUGGUACGGCCUGCAAGCAGGAAGUGGGCGUGUUUCGAUCCAUCUGCCGACGUGCUACGCUAGCUCAUACGAAAGAGGAGGUCAGCAGCUUCGCGUGUAACCAUAGGCAGACAGAGAGUUAGCUUAGUUUCCUGUCUGUGCCGCUGUGUUCUUGCGGUCUAGCAGGUAAAACUCUGAAUGUCAGUCUAGUUUAGUGGAAGUGCGCAAUGUGUGAGCACCUGUUCAUGUUAUUAGUCUGAAAAAUGUACGAUCGGGCUCUUUGUUUGUGCAUAGCAUUGGUGUUCUAAUGUAUGCUUUUUUUUCAUGGUGCAACUGUGACUAUUACAAUUGGAAUCUUAGUUCUUUGGUCA